rnacentral:rRNA from 1 species
GUAAUGCGUGACCAACCUGCCCCAUGCUCCAGAAUAGCUCUUGGAAACGGGUGGUAAUGCUGGAUGCUCCAACUUGACGCAUGUCUUGUUGGAAAGUGUUUAGUGGCAUGGGAUGGGGUCGCGUCCUAUCAGCUUGUAGGCGGGGUAAUGGCCCACCUAGGCUUCGACGGGUAGCCGGCCUGAGAGGGCGGACGGCCACAUUGGGACUGAGAUACGGCCCAAACUCCUACGGGAGGCAGCAGCA